rnacentral:rRNA from 1 species
UACGAAGGGGGCGAGCGUUGUUCGGAAUUACUGGGCGUAAAGGGCGCGUAGGCGGCCGAUCAAGUCAGAUGUGAAAGCCCCGGGCUUAACCUGGGAACUGCGUUUGAUACGGUGUGGCUAGAGUUCGGGAGAGGAGAGUGGAAUUCCCAGUGUAGAGGUGAAAUUGAUAGAUAUUGGGAAGAACACCGGUGGCGAAGGCGGCUCUCUGGACCGAUACUGACGCUGAGGCGGCGAAAGCGUGGGGAGCAAACAGG